AUGGGGCGGGGCAUUGCGGGGCGGGGCCUGGGCCGGGUGGCCGCGCGCUCGCCGCGCGGGUCUCCCGGCGCUGGUCUCCCGGCGCGGGCGCGUGGCGCCAUGCUGCUGCGCCCGGUGAUCGGGAAGCUGCAGCACAAGCGCGUGGUGUUGGCCAGCUCCUCCCCGCGCCGCCGGGAGAUCCUCAGCAAUGCUAAGGACCUGCGGGCCCCGGACGUGGUCAUCGGAGCCGACACCAUCGUGGCGGUCGGGGGGCUGAUCCUGGAGAAGCCGGUGGACAAGCAGGACGCCUACCGCAUGCUGUCGAGGCUCAGCGGGAAGGAGCACAGCGUGUUCACGGGCGUGGCCAUCGUCCACUGCUGCACCAGAGACGGUCAGCUGGACACUGAGGUGUCCGAGUUCUACGAGGAGACCACGGUGAAGUUCUCGGAGCUGUCGGAGGAGCUGCUGUGGGAAUACAUGGACAGCGGGGAGCCCAUGGACAAGGCCGGCGGCUACGGGAUCCAGGCGCUGGGUGGGAUGUUGGUGGAGUACGUGCGCGGCGACUUCCUCAACGUGGUGGGCUUCCCGCUGAACCGCUUCUGCAAGGAGCUGGCGCGCCUGUACCACGCACCGCGGGCCCCCGGCACCCCGCGGCCGGUCCAGCACGACUCCAUCCCAGCUGUCGACACGUUCGAGGAUCUCAGCGAUGGCGAGGGAGGCGGCUCUGACCCCGCUCCGGCCAGCGGGGGCCUGCAGGCUGGCGGGGCGCGGCCGCAGGCUCCCCGCACCCAGGAGGCGGACCUGAACGGGGUGACGGACAGCCAGCCCGGGCUCCCCGCGGGCCUCCUGGAGCUGAUGGACGGCUUCAAAGCAUCCAAGGUCCUGCUCACGGCCUGCAAGCUCCAAGUGUUCGAUGUACUGAAAGACCGAGGACCCCUGUCAGCCAUGGACGUCGCCCGCGAAAUCGACGCCUCGGUGGGUGGCACCGCGCGCCUGCUUGACGUCUGUGCAGCCCUGGGGUUGCUGGACAAGUCGGACAGAGGUUACAGCAACACGGAGACGGCCAGCCUGCACCUGGCGUCAGACGGCGAGCAGUCUCUCCACGGCCUGGCCGCCUACCACGACGGGCCCGUCUGGGGCGCCUUCACGCACCUGGGCCGGGCCGUGCGGGAGGGGGCAGCGUGGACCCCAGAGCCGCUGCUGCAGGGCCCCCACAAGUGGAGCACAGAGGCGACCCUGCAGUUCAUGAGGGCCUCGCACGGCCUCAGCAAGCUGACCGCCCAGCACGUGGCCACGGCCUUUGACCUGUCCCCAUUCACCUCCGCCUGCCACCUGGGAGGCUGCACGGGCGCCCUGGCCCACAAGCUUGUCCAGGAGUACCCGCGUCUGCAGGUGACCGUGUUUGACCUCCCAGAGGUCAUCAAGCUUGCCGGGGACUUCCAGACCGACGCACAGCCGUCAGAGCGGGUCCACUUUGUGCCAGGUCAGUGCGGCGUCCUUGCCUGCCUGCUGUCCGUCUUUGGGCGGCCUUAUCUGUCUCCUGUAUGGGGUGAGUGGGGCUUCCCCGGUGGCGCAGUGGUAAGGAGCCAGCCUGCCGAAGCCGGAGAUGUGGGUCCGUCCCUGGGUCGGGAAGAUCCCCUGGAGGAGGAGGUGGCACCCGCUCCGGUGUUCUUUCCUGGGAAAUCCAGCAGACAGAGGAGUUUGGCGGGCCACAGUCCAUGGGGUGUCAGAGAGCUGGGCACGACUGAGCGCGCACACGUAUGCGGUCUGUGUGUGUCCUGCAUCUGUGUCUCUGUAUCUGAGUGUGUAUUAUCCGAGUGUGCGUGCCUGUGUGUGCGAGCCUGUGAGUGUGUGCCUGUGUUUCUGUGUGUUUGUGCCUCCAUCUGUGUUUCUGUAUCUGAGUGUGUAUCUGAGUGUGUAUUAUCUGAGUGUGUAUUAUCUGAGUGUGCGUGCCUGUGUGCAUGUGUUUCUGUGAGUGUGUUUGUGUCUCCAUCUGUGUCUCUGUAUGUGUGUAUCUGA
rnacentral:lncRNA from 1 species